CCUACGGGAGGCAGCAGUGAGGAAUAUUGGUCAAUGGACGAGAGUCUGAACCAGCCAAGUAGCGUGAAGGAUGACUGCCCUAUGGGUUGUAAACUUCUUUUAUAAAGGAAUAAAACGAGGCACGUGUGCCUUUUUGCAUGUACUUUAUGAAUAAGGAUCGGCUAACUCCGUGCCAGCAGCCGCGGUAAUACGGAGGAUCCGAGCGUUAUCCGGAUUUAUUGGGUUUAAAGGGAGCGUAGAUGGGUUGUUAAGUCAGUUGUGAAAGUUUGCGGCUCAACCGUAAAAUUGCAAGUGAUACUGGCAGUCUUGAGUACAGUUGAGGUAGGCGGAAUUCGUGGUGUAGCGGUGAAAUGCUUAGAUAUCGCGAAGAACCCCGAUUGCGAAGGCAGCUUACUAAACUGUGACUGACAUUGAUGCUCGAAAGUGUGGGGAUCAAACAGGAGUAGAUACCCCAGUAGUC
rnacentral:rRNA from 1 species